rnacentral:rRNA from 1 species
AGAGUUUGAUCAUGGCUCAGGACGAACGCUGGCGGCGUGCUUAACACAUGCAAGUCGAACGGUAAGGCCCUUCGGGGUACACGAGUGGCGAACGGGUGAGUAACACGUGGGUGAUCUGCCCUGCACUUCGGGAUAAGCCUGGGAAACUGGGUCUAAUACCGGAUAGGACUCCUGGCUUCAUGGUUGGGGGUGUAAAGCUUUUGCGGUGUGGGAUGGGCCCGCGGCCUAUCAGCUUGUUGGUGGGGUAAUGGCCUACCAAGGCGACGACGGGUAGCCGGCCUGAGAGGGUGACCGGCCACACUGGGACUGAGAUACGGCCCAGACUCCUACGGGAGGCAGCAGUGGGGAAUAUUGCACAAUGGGCGCAAGCCUGAUGCAGCGACGCCGCGUGAGGGAUGACGGCCUUCGGGUUGUAAACCUCUUUCAAUAGGGACGAAGCGCAAGUGACGGUACCUAUAGAAGAAGGACCGGCCAACUACGUG